rnacentral:rRNA from 1 species
AUAACCUGCCUCAAGGCUGGGGAUAACAUUUGGAAACAGAUGCUAAUACCGAAUAAAACUUAGUAUCGCAUGAUACAAAGUUGAAAGGCGCUACGGCGUCACCUAGAGAUGGGUCCGCGGUGCAUUAGUUAGUUGGUGGGGUAAAGGCCUACCAAGACAAUGAUGCAUAGCCGAGUUGAGAGACUGAUCGGCCACAUUGGGACUGAGACACGGCCCAAACUCCUACGGGAGGCUGCAGUAGGGAAUCUUCCACAAUGGGCGAAAGCCUGAUGGAGCAACGCCGCGUGUGUGAUGAAGGCUUUAGGGUCGUAAAGCACUGUUGUAUGGGAAGAAAUGCUAGAAUAGGGAAUGAUUCUAGUUCGACGGUACCAUACCAGAAAGGGACGGCUAAAUACGUGCCAGCAGCCGCGGUAAUACGUAUGUCCCGAGCGUUAUCCGGAUUUAUUGGGCGUAAAGCGAGCGCAGACGGUUGAUUAAGUC